GCCUUGAUAGCUUAAACUAAAGCACCGGUCUUGUAAGCCGGAGACUGUAGCCUAACCCCUACUCAAGGCU
rnacentral:tRNA from 10 species